rnacentral:lncRNA from 1 species
GAAACUUGGGGAGGGGGUGCCAGCGGCUUCAAGGGUCUCUACACGCUCUCCUCCAACAAACAGCCAAAUAUCUGGAAAAGAAAAGGAUGACCCGUGGGGGAAGGGCGGGGCAAGGACAGGGCUGACCUACGCAGUGCUGCUAGCAUUUCUAAGAGGCUGGAAAACCAGGCCCCAGGCCUACGCACGCUGCGCAGCUACUGUAACCACCUCAGCAAUUAAGCACAAGCGCGACUGCCCUCCUUUAAACUUAAGGACCGAGGGAGAAGUUAAGACUUCGAGAAUAAAUGUACCACUCAUCCUGCUUGGGUGAAGAAGUAUAAAAUGUAGAUAAGUGGAUGAGCCCAGAAUUGCAGGCUUGCAACUGAAGAGCAUUG